AAACCGUACUCAUUAUUUGUACCUAUUUACUCGUUGGUAGGUUUUAAAUUAUUUAUUGGUUCAAUGCGCGUGAAAACUGUUUGAACACGAACAAUCAAGUUGUACCUAUAAUAACUGACAUUAGCUGCACAUUAAGCGCGGUUUACUUAAAUCUUAAAUACAAAUAUAAGCAAACAAAAAACCAUUACAAGUAUACAGGUAUACCUAAUCUAUUAUGAUAAAUAUACAAUUAAUAUAAUAUAACGUCCACCGUGUUAUAGUACAACCAGUGGCGAAACGAAUCUAAAAUAACGCAGAAGCGACCAAUAAUCUAUCCAAUGUCCACCCACCAAUAUUUCUCAUUAUAUCCCAAUAUGUUGAUGAUAAUCCCAUGAGGAAAGAUAGAUUAUUUAAUAUUAGAGUGUUUUACACAAAUAUAAAUUUUGGUCAAAAAUUCAUAAAUUAUCAGGGUCCGGUAAAUUUUAAUUCUUUAACAAUAUACUAUAAUACUAAUAGUAAGAAAUGUAUCAAUAAUAUAUUAUUUAAGGAUAUGUGUAAAUGUUAAUAAUUCGGUAGUAUUAAGACUUUAUUUCUAUUUCUCUAUUUUUCUCUUUUUUUUACUAUUAUUCGUAAUUUAAUUUAAUUUUUUUAUCUCACGUGUACACUAUAAAUCCCUACACCACCACCUCAAGUUCUGCUUAAAGGUGUAGGCGAUUUUUGUUAUUUGCA